rnacentral:rRNA from 1 species
CAGCCGCCGCGGUAAUACGUAGGGGGCUAGCGUUGCUCGGAAUGACUGGGCGUAAAGGGCGCGUAGGCGGCGAUCAAAGUCAGGCGUGAAAUUCCUGGGCUCAACCUGGGGGCUGCGUUUGAUACUUGAUUGCUAGAGUGGGGAAGAGGGUCGUGGAAUUCCCAGUGUAGAGGUGAAAUUCGUAGAUAUUGGGAAGAACACCGGUGGCGAAGGCGGCGACCUGGUCCUUGACUGACGCUGAGGCGCGAAAGCGUGGGGAGCAAACAGGAUUAGAUACCCCCGUAGUCCCUGUCUCUUAUAA